rnacentral:rRNA from 1 species
GACGAACGCUGGCGGCGUGCUUAACACAUGCAAGUCGAACGGUAAGGCCCCUUCGGGGGUACACGAGUGGCGAACGGGUGAGUAACACGUGAGCAACCUACCCUUGACUCUGGAAUAACAGCUGGAAACAGCUGCUAAUACCGGAUACGACCUCAAGCGUCAUCGCUUUUGGUGGAAAGCUCCGGCGGUCAAGGAUGGGCUCGCGGCCUAUCAGCUAGUUGGUGAGGUAACGGCUCACCAAGGCUUCGACGGGUAGCCGGCCUGAGAGGGCGACCGGCCACACUGGGACUGAGAUACGGCCCAGACUCCUACGGGAGGCAGCAGUGGGGAAUAUUGCACAAUGGGCGCAAGCCUGAUGCAGCAACGCCGCGUGUGGGAUGACGGCCUUCGGGUUGUAAACCACUUUCAGCGCCGACGAAGCGAAAGUGACGGUAGGCGCAGAAGAAGCACCGGCCAACUACGUGCCAGCAGCCGCCGUAACAC